UGGACAGUAAAAUAAAAAUAGGCUGUAUCAGUGGCAGAAUUUACAAGUAGAGGGCUUUCAAAUAUAAUCCUCGGGCUGGACAAAACUGCCUUGACCGAAUUUCCCCCAAAAGGGUGGUACUUCCUAAAGACCCAGGAAAGUUAAAAAUAAUUAAGUUCUACAUGUGGAGAAUAAGCUUCAGUUUUGUUUCCAAGUAAAAUUAGCAUUUGAAACACAGGCUGCAUUUAGAAAAGUUAAAAUGGGGUUAAAAAUUGAAGGAGUAUCAAAAUACCUUCAAAGCAUUGCUGUGCAAGGCAACUUUUUACUACACUUAAUAUACCUACUAAGGACACAGAUAACUCAAGGUUAAAUGGACUCUAAAUUACAUUACUUACAUCUGAGAUAGAAGUGAAAAUGAAUAAUACUGUAUUCUAAUCUUUUUAUUCAGGAAUUUGCUCAGGGAUCUGGUUAAGAAUAACCAGUCACCAGACUCCAGCCUGGCUGGGCAUAAUAUUAUUGCAAAGGGCUGAUGGCUGCAAAUGCUCCGGAAGAAUAUGGUUGUAUGGGAAUUGUGAAAGCUCUACCCUUGAAAUGAAACUAAGCCAGUAUUUCGUGCCUUCUUGCUUUUUAAAAAACAUAUUAUUGUCAAACUUCUUUGAUAGUCCCACAGUCCCUCCAUGCAUAGCAAAGACUGCAGUGUAUCAAAACACUAUCAGGAUUCCAGAUGGAACUUGAAGAGAUCUUCUAUUUAACCCUGUGCACAUCACUUCAAAUCACUGAUUUCUUUCUUCAUGAUUGAAUUUAGACUGAAGGCACUGAGACACGAGCUGUUAAAUCAUGAGGUCCCACUUUCUACUGGAACUCCAGGAAUUACAGCACCCUAUAAAGUCUCUGCACAAAGCACAACUUAGAUGAUAAAAAAGACCUUUUUCUGUAAAGAAAGGCAAAUUCGGUUUAUAUAUAUUCAUAUUUUCAUAACAUGUAUUUGAAGAAAUACAUUACAUGUAGUGCUCAUGUCAGCUAUUGCUCUGCCAUUUUCUAAAGACAUGAUAAGGAGGUUGCUAUGUUUUGUAAGCAUGGCUUUUUCUGUACACAUCUUAGUCUCUUCAGACAAGUGCUGGGAUAGCAUGAAGUUUUAAACCCUCCACACUUGUUGGAAAACUAGAAAACAUUUUCAUAGGUAAUAAGAUCACAAGGAAACAUUUGUGUCAUCUAAAAUGUCUGAUAAUACAACCCCCCAACUUUUAUUCAAUAAUUGUUCCAAACAUUAUACUUCUCUAUCUCUAUUGUCUGUGUCAAACUGUAUUUGAUAAAAUAUUUAUUUCAUUGUUUGAAGUAUGUAAAAUCCUUUAACAGACAUACACUAUUGAAGAAAGAAGACUGUGGCUAUUUUAUGAUAUUUUACAUUGUGACAGUCAGACAGGGGAAGGGAGAGGCCCUUUUUUAAAUUCAGGUUGGUCUUCUAUGUGUCUCCAUUUCUACCUGAUGGUGCAACAGCUUUCCUAAGGUACCUAAGUGACAAUGGAAAUAUCUGAACUACAUUUUAUUCUUAAGCACAGGCAUAAUCCCUUCUAGUGUGUUCUAGCCUAGCUGUCUAAUGUAGUUUUUGUAAGGUACUGUUACUCAUUAUUCAUUUAUCUGUGCUUCUUUUACAUGAAAUUCUUCAGCAAAACUCAGAAUUCUGCAUCCUAAAUGUACUCUUGUAUCUGACUAAAAUGCAAGCCACUCUUUCUGUAAAAGUUACAAAUCUGUGCUUUUUCUGCGUGAGUUCAAGUAACAUUAGAGUCUUGUAAGGGAUUCAUUGAUUGUCACCAUUAGGAAAUAGCACAGACUGAUAGGAGUGGCUCUGAUAUCUGCUGAAUAACUGAUCCCCUCAUCUGGUGACAAGGACCUGAUGUUAACCCAUAUUAAAUGUUUUUGAACCUUUUGUUUCAGGCUAUA